rnacentral:tRNA from 1 species
UCUUAAAAUAGUUUAUGAAAAUAAUGAUUUUGGGGAUCAUAGAUGAAUUAAAAUAAUUCUUUUUAGAA